rnacentral:rRNA from 1 species
CAUGGCUCAGGAUGAACGCUAGCGGCAGGCCUAACACAUGCAAGUCGAGGGGUAUAGUUCUUCGGAACUAGAGACCGGCGCACGGGUGCGUAACGCGUAUGCAAUCUACCUUGUACAGAGGGAUAGCCCAGAGAAAUUUGGAUUAAUACCUCAUAGUGUUAUUGAAUGGCAUCAUUUGAUAACUAAAGUUCUAACGGUACAAGAUGAGCAUGCGUCCCAUUAGUUAGUUGGUAAGGUAACGGCUUACCAAGACAAUGAUGGGUAGGGGUCCUGAGAGGGAGAUCCCCCACACUGGUACUGAGACACGGACCAGACUCNUACGGGAGGCAGCAGUGAGGAAUAUUGGACAAUGGGCGCAAGCCUGAUCCAGCCAUGCCGCGUGCAGGAUGACUGCCCUAUGGGUUGUAAACUGCUUUUAUACAGGAAGAAACACUGCUACGUGUAGCAGCUUGACGGUACUGUAGGAAUAAGGAUCGGCU